rnacentral:rRNA from 1 species
GGGUCCUACGGGGGGCAGCAGUGAGGAAUAUUGGUCAAUGGGCGAGAGCCUGAACCAGCCAAGUCGCGUGCAGGAUGACGGCCCUACGGGUUGUAAACUUCUUUUGUCAGGGAGCAAUUGGGUCCACGUGUGGGCUUAGCGAGAGUACCUGAAGAAAAAGCAUCGGCUAACUCCGUGCCAGCAGCCGCGGUAAUACGGAGGAUGCGAGCGUUAUCCGGAUUUAUUGGGUUUAAAGGGUGCGUAGGCGGAAUAUCAAGUCAGCGGUAUAAAUGCGGGGCGCAACCCCGUCGUGCCGUUGAAACUGG